CUCCGGUUGAUCCCGCCGGACCCGACUGCUAUCAGAGUGGGACUAAGCCAUGCGAGUCAACAUAGCAAUAUGUGGCAUACGGCUCAGUAACACGUAGUCAACAUGCCCAGGGGACGUGGAUAACCUCGGGAAACUGAGGAUAAACCGCGAUAGGUCAUCACUUCUGGAAUGGGUAAUGACUUAAAUCUAUAUGGCCCCUGGAUUGGACUGCGGCCGAUCAGGCUGUUGGUGAGGUAAUGGCCCACCAAACCUGUAACCGGUACGGGCUCUGAGAGGAGGAGCCCGGAGAUGGGCACUGAGACAAGGGCCCAGGCCCUAUGGGGCGCAGCAGGCGCGAAACCUCUGCAAUAGGCGAAAGCUUGACAGGGUUACUCUGAGUGAUUUCCGUUAAGGAGAUCUUUUGGCACCUCUAAAAAUGGUGCAGAAUAAGGGGUGGGCAAGUCUGGUGUCAGCCGCCGCGGUAAUACCAGCACCCCGAGUGGUCGGGACGUUUAUUGGGCCUAAAGCAUCCGUAGCCGGUUCUACAAGUCUUCCGUUAAAUCCACCUGCUUAACAGAUGGGCUGCGGAAGAUACUAUAGAGCUAGGAGGCGGGAGAGGCAGACGGUAUUCAGUGGGUAGGGGUAAAAUCCUCUGAUCCAUUGAGGACCACCAGUGGCGAAGGCGGUUUGCCAGAACACGUUCGACGGUGAGGGAUGAAAGCUGGGGGAGCAAACCGGAUUAGAUACCCGGGUAGUCCCAGCUGUAAACGAUGCAAACUCGGUGAUGCAUUGGCUUAUGGCUAAUGCAGUGCCGCAGGGAAGCCGUUAAGUUUGCCGCCUGGGAAGUACGGACGCAAGUCUGAAACUUAAAGGAAUUGGCGGGGGAGCA
rnacentral:rRNA from 1 species